AGAGUUUGAUCAUGGCUCAGAGCGAACGCUGGCGGCGUGGAUAAGGCAUGCAAGUCGAGCGAUCCCGCAAGGGAUAGCGGCAAACGGGUGAGUAACGCGUAGGAAACCUGCCCUGAAGAGGGGGACACCCUGGUGAAAACCAGGCUAAUACCGCAUGUGGCACGAGCCUCGCAUGAGGUUCUUGCCAAAGGUGGCCUAGACCGCAAGGUUGCCACCGCUUUAGGAGGGUCCUGCGUCCCAUCAGCUUGUUGGCAGGGUAACGGCCUACCAAGGCAUAUGACGGGUAGCUAGCUUUAGAGAGUGUUUAGCCACACUGGGACUGAGACACUGCCCAGACUCCUACGGGAGGCUGCAGUCGAGAAUCUUUGGCAAUGGGCGAAAGCCUGACCAUGCGACGCCGCGUGUAGGAUGAAGGCCUUCGGGUCGUAAACUACUGUCUUGAGGAAAGAAGGGUUAUACGGCGAAUAGUCGUGUGAUCUUGACGGUACCUCAAAAGAAAGCCACGGCUAACUCCGUGCCAGCAGCCGCGGUAAGACGGAGGUGGCGAGCGUUGCUCGGAUUUACUGGGUGUAAAGGGCAAGUAGGCGGUCCUGAAAGUCCUGCCUGAAAGGUGUCAGCUCAACUGGCACUCUGGGUAGGAUACUACAGGACUAGAGGUCGGAAGAGGCAAGCGGAAUUCCCGGUGUAAGGGUGAAAUCUGUAGAUAUCGGGAGGAACACCAGUGGCGAAGGCGGCUUGCUGGUCCGAUUCUGACGCUGAGGUGCGAAAGCUAGGGGAGCGAACAGGAUCAGAUACCCUGGUAGUCCUAGCCGUAAACGAUGGGCACUAGGUGUUGGACUCCUUGUGGGUUCA
rnacentral:rRNA from 1 species